rnacentral:lncRNA from 1 species
AUGCUUCUUGACUCACCGACAUAUCUUCCAGUCAACUUCAUUCUACUUUCUAGAUGUUGGGGCCAACAUCAGAAUUGUCUGGAUUUGAUUAAGUCAAUACUUACUCAACAUAUUUUAGUUAAGCAUCAUGGUGCAGUGGACAGGACAAUGGAUUUCCAGUUGUAGUAUCCUGGAUCAACUCUCAGUCCUGGUUCAAAUCCAAGCCUUGUGUGACUUUGGGGUAAGUACCUUGUCUUUUCAGUUUCUUCAUCUAUAAAAAAGAGGGUUGAACUCAAUGAUCUCUAAGUUUUAUAAUCCAGUAAUAUAUAUUUUAGAAAGAUUUACAUCCAAAAUUAAAUAUAUUACUUUUUAUUUAAACUUCAAAGGGGCAAACCCUUAGCUUUUUGGAAAGUUCAUUUAUGCUGAAUAAUCAGAGUUCUGGAUAGAGUUUUGUUUCAUGUGUGCAUAUGUGAAGGAUUUGUGAUUUUGUCAGCAUGAGGUAUUCCCAUGGUGGGAAUUUGGUUUUCCAGUAA